UAUUAUGAGAGUUUUUCCUGGCUCAGGAUGAACGCCGGCGGUGUGCCUAAUACAUGCAAGUCGAACGCGUUGGCCCAAUUGAUUGAUGGUGCUUGCACCUGAUUGAUUUUGGUCGCCAACGAGUGGCGGACGGGUGAGUAACACGUAGGUAACCUGCCCAGAAGCGGGGGACAACAUCUGGAAACAGAUGCUAAUACCGCAUAACAGCGUUGUUCGCAUGAACAACGCUUAAAAGAUGGCUUCUCGCUAUCACUUCUGGAUGGACCUGCGGUGCAUUAGCUUGUUGGUGGGGUAACGGCCUACCAAGGCGAUGAUGCAUAGCCGAGUUGAGAGACUGAUCGGCCACAAUGGGACUGAGACACGGCCCAUACUCCUACGGGAGGCAGCAGUAGGGAAUCUUCCACAAUGGGCGCAAGCCUGAUGGAGCAACACCGCGUGAGUGAAGAAGGGUUUCGGCUCGUAAAGCUCUGUUGUUAAAGAAGAACACGUAUGAGAGUAACUGUUCAUGCGUUGACGGUAUUUAACCAGAAAGUCACGGCUAACUACGUGCCAGCAGCCGCGGUAAUACGUAGGUGGCAAGCGUUAUCCGGAUUUAUUGGGCGUAAAGAGAGUGCAGGCGGUUUUCUAAGUCUGAUGUGAAAGCCUUCGGCUUAACCGGAGAAGUGCAUCGGAAACUGGAUAACUUGAGUGCAGAAGAGGGUAGUGGAACUCCAUGUGUAGCGGUGGAAUGCGUAGAUAUAUGGAAGAACACCAGUGGCGAAGGCGGCUACCUGGUCUGCAACUGACGCUGAGACUCGAAAGCAUGGGUAGCGAACAGGAUUAGAUACCCUGGUAGUCCAUGCCGUAAACGAUGAGUGCUAGGUGUUGGAGGGUUUCCGCCCUUCAGUGCCGGAGCUAACGCAUUAAGCACUCCGCCUGGGGAGUACGACCGCAAGGUUGAAACUCAAAGGAAUUGACGGGGGCCCGCACAAGCGGUGGAGCAUGUGGUUUUUAAUCGAAGCUACGCGAAGAACCUUACCAGGUCUUGACAUCUUGCGCCAACCCUAGAGAUAGGGCGUUUCCUUCGGGAACGCAAUGACAGGUGGUGCAUGGUCGUCGUCAGCUCGUGUCGUGAGAUGUUGGGUUAAGUCCCGCAACGAGCGCAACCCUUGUUACUAGUUGCCAGCAUUAAGUUGGGCACUCUAGUGAGACUGCCGGUGACAAACCGGAGGAAGGUGGGGACGACGUCAGAUCAUCAUGCCCCUUAUGACCUGGGCUACACACGUGCUACAAUGGACGGUACAACGAGUCGCGAACUCGCGAGGGCAAGCAAAUCUCUUAAAACCGUUCUCAGUUCGGACUGCAGGCUGCAACUCGCCUGCACGAAGUCGGAAUCGCUAGUAAUCGCGGAUCAGCAUGCCGCGGUGAAUACGUUCCCGGGCCUUGUACACACCGCCCGUCACACCAUGAGAGUUUGUAACACCCAAAGUCGGUGGGGUAACCUUUUAGGAGCCAGCCGCCUAAGGUGGGACAGAUGAUUAGGGUGAAGUCGUAACAAGGUAGCCGUAGGAGAACCUGCGGCUGGAUCACCUCCUUU
rnacentral:rRNA from 1 species